rnacentral:misc_RNA from 1 species
AUGACAUUGAAUCCAGAAAGUUGCACAAAAUGAAGAAAAGAAAUCAUUGAUGUUGGUUCAAAUUUAGCCUAACUUAAAAAGAGUAAAGAACAUUUUUCAGUUGGUUUCCGCAAUUAAGUUGUGUCUUCCUAUCACUCACUCGAUUAUUGAUUGAAUCACACCAGCACCAACAGUCUUUCCACCUUCUCUGAUAGCAAACCUCAUUCCUUGUUCACAAGCCACAGGCAUAAUCAGUUCCACAACCAUUUUCACUCGGUCUCCUGGCAUAACCAUUUUCG